rnacentral:rRNA from 1 species
CUACGGGUGGCACCAGUGGGGAAUAUUGCACAAUGGGGGAAACCCUGAUGCAGCAACGCCGCGUGGAGGAUGACACAUUUCGGUGCGUAAACUCCUUUUAUAGGUCGAGAUAAUGACGGUAGCCUAUGAAUAAGCGCCGGCUAACUCCGUGCCAGCAGCCGCGGUAAUACGGAGGGCGCAAGCGUUACUCGGAAUCACUGGGCGUAAAGAGCAUGUAGGCGGGUUAAUAAGUCAGAAGUGAAAUCCAAUAGCUCAACUAUUGAACUGCUUUUGAAACUGUUAACCUAGAGUGUGGGAGAGGUAGAUGGAAUUUCUGGUGUAGGGGUAAAAUCCGUAGAGAUCAGAAGGAAUACCGAUUGCGAAGGCGAUCUACUGGAACAUUACUGACGCUGAGAUGCGAAAGCGUGGGGAGCAAACAGGAUUAGAUACCCCGGUAGUC